rnacentral:rRNA from 1 species
UACGGAGGGUGCAAGCGUUAUCCGGAUUCACUGGGUUAAAGGGUGCGUAGGUGGGCUUGUAAGUCAGCGGUGAAAUCUCCGGGCUUAACCCGGAAACUGCCAUUGAUACUAUCUGUCUUGAAUAUCGUGGAGGUAAGCGGAAUAUGUCAUGUAGCGGUGAAAUGCUUAGAUAUGACAUAGAACACCAAUUGCGAAGGCAGCUUACUACCCGAAUAUUGACACUGAGGCACGAAAGCGUGGGAUCAAACAGG